UACGAAGGGGGCUAGCGUUGCUCGGAAUCACUGGGCGUAAAGCGCACGUAGGCGGACUAUUAAGUCAGGGGUGAAAUCCCCGGGCUUAACCUGGGAACUGCAUUUGUGACUGCAUGGCUGGAGUUCGGUAGGGGAGUGGGGAAUUCCUGGUGUAGCGGUGAAAUGCGCAGAUAUCAGGAGGAACACCGGUGGCGAAGGCGCCACUCUGGGCCGAAAACUGACGCUGAGGAGCGAAAGCGUGGGUAGCAAACAGG
rnacentral:rRNA from 1 species